UCCUUGAACCAAUUUUCCUAAUUUUUUUAACACAACAACUCCAUGUGCAUGACAAUAUCAUUUCUUUUGACUGACAAAAUGUAGGACUUCAGUCUCAUCUUUUAACUGGGUUGUGGGAUUACAUAUAGACAGCUUCAGGACUUUUGCUUUGUGUUUAGAAACGUCCUCAUUAAGAUCCAAUCCAGGAUGAACUUCUAUAUGUGAACGCUCAGAACGUAUGGUUUAACUGUGUGGCCAUGGCCAUGCUAAAAACUUGUCACUUGGAAAAGAGGCUCUAUCUCGAAACUUCUGUAUGCCGCCACUGAAAAACCUAUAUGAUAAAGGUGUCCUUGUAGAUCUAUUAGCCAUUUUACUUGUUGCCACGUGAUCCCAAACCCAGAUCUUAUUCUACAUCUCUGAUCUAAGAGCUCAUCGGGCUUCCUGUAUCCAUUCCCACUAACUUUAACUUUCCCACUAAGGUGGUACUCUCCUCAACAGAGGAGGCAACAAAUUAAAAGAAGAAGAUUUGAUUUCAAUGAUUUGGCGCCAAUUAGCGGAUUUCAGUUCACUUCCGUAAUUCGGUCAGAGCAGUCGAGCACCACGGAACUCGGGAACUUGGGUUCAGCUUUUAGCAGUAUUUUACCCGUCUAGGAAGGCAUAAAUAAGAUGGAAUCAAGCACGAAAAAACCUUUUACUUAGUCUUACUAUAGUGAAGUAAAUAAAAUAGGGAUUGUUAAGUCAUGUAUUCAACCAGACCACACCCUCACCAUGUCUUCAGAUCAGGUUUCCUAUCUCUAAUGUUUGUGUUGGACUCUCAAGGUUUUAAAAAGAAUUGAAAGACCAUUCAAUGAAAGAUCUCCUAGAAACUCAUGAUAUAUUGGUACCAGCUAAAAUGGAUUUCUCAGUAUAUUAGAUGUCAGCUAUUGUAUGAAUGAAGAGAGGGAGAGAAUGGUAGCACCAAUUGUAGAAUUUAAAGAGAGCAAUAAUGGA